rfam:Rickettsia massiliae MTT5, complete genome.
CUAAAUGGUCGUGCAGUUGCGUGAUGAUAUAUAGCAAAGCUAUAGAUCACGAGGAAAGUCCGGACUCUAUAGAGGUAUGGUGCCGGUUAACCUCCGGCAGAGUAUUAUUACUUUAGGGACAGUACCACAGAAAAUACACCGCCAAGUAUGAAUACGAAGAUCAACUUCAAAAAGAACUAGGAGUUCACAAGACGAGGAACGGAGCGUAUACUUAAUACGUGAGUACCGUAGGUACUUGUGGAAUGACGCAGCCAAUUUCUGAAGUUGAUCGAGUAUUUUUGGUAAGGGUGAAAAGGUACGGUAAGAGCGUACCGGUAAGUUGGUAACAAAUUACGCAUGGUAAACCCCACCAAGAGCAAGAUCAAAUAGGCGUUACAGAACUUAUCAAGUUCCCGGGUUAUCUCUAGCCGGCUUGUAAUGCGGGUAGAUCGCUUGAGGUAAACGGUAACGUUUAUCCUAGAUAAAUAACUGCAAUGAAUUUCUAUUCAUACAGAAUCCGGCUUAUAGACCUUAUUGUCAU